ACAAGAAGCUGACAUGAGCCCUUGUUUCCAGUAUGUGAGUCAUCAUUGCCACCAAUGGUCUGGGUCAUUGGCUGUGCACACACAUCCACAGACAGUACAACAACAGCCUCUAGUCCCUUGUUGCUGACCUUUGGGAAGCUGGGCAUGUAAGGCCAUACAUGAUCUACAGUGUACUUGUAGAGGUCAGAGGACAACUUGCAGGAGUCAUUUCUCUGCUUCCACAAUGUGGGUCCUGGGGAUCCAACUGAAGUCAUCAGAAGCAGUACUCGGGCUUCUAUUACACUUUAAUACGAUCUACAUAUAAGAACAGGGGAGAAAACAGUGAACUUUCCAUGCAGAACCAACUCCUGGAGAAGAACCAAAAGUGGUGUGGUCUGUUCAGCCUGUUACCUGAGCAACAGUGACAAGAUCAUGUGGGACUCACCAGGUCAGUCAUUUCCUUUUCUCUUCCCAUCCGUGUGACCAGCAGCUGGUCUGUGAUGCCUUGUAGGAACACAUCCUGUUGAGCAGGUAGCAGCAAGAGCAG